rnacentral:rRNA from 1 species
AUUGAACGCUGGCGGCAUGCUUUACACAUGCAAGUCGAACGGUAACAGGUUAAGCUGACGAGUGGCGAACGGGUGAGUAAUGCAUCGGAACGUGCCCGAUCGUGGGGGAUAACACUUCGAAAGAAGUGCUAAUACCGCAUACGAUCUGAGGAUGAAAGCGGGGGACCGUAAGGCCUCGCGCGAACGGAGCGGCCGAUGUCAGAUUUGGUAGUAGGUGGGGUAAAGGCUCACCAAGCCGACGAUCUGUAGCUGGUCUGAGAGGACGACCAGCCACACUGGGACUGAGACACGGCCCAGACUCCUACGGGAGGCAGCAGUGGGGAAUUUUGGACAAUGGGCGCAAGCCUGAUCCAGCAAUGCCGCGUGCAGGAAGAAGGCCUUCGGGUUGUAAACUGCUUUUGUACGGAGCGAAAAGGCUCCCUCUAAUACAGGGGGCUCAUGACGGUACCGUAAGAAUAAGCACCGGCUAACUACGUGCCAGCAGCCGCCGUAAAAC